AUGGACAACUGCAAGUGCUGGAAAUGCUGGUCCUGGACAAUUGGUUUGAUGUCAGGUAGCUUCAGUUCUAGGCUUGACUGAGACAACACAGGUGCUUUUAACUUCCCCACCCCUCGCUGCAGGAUAUAGCAAAAUCAGCAGAAGCAGAGCCAGGCAAAGAUCUAACAUGAAACACUGAGUGUUCCCUGUCUUCACAGCCUGUUCUCCCUCCUCCCGCUGCCCCUGCCUGCUUUUUCCCUGCCUCCAAUCCCAUAGUCAGCUAUCAGAACAACAGAUUACAAGUAAACAUCU
rnacentral:lncRNA from 1 species